rnacentral:rRNA from 1 species
ACCCGCUGAAUUUAAGCAUAUAAGUAAGUGGUGGAAAUUAAACCAAAUGGGAUAUCUUUAGUAAUUGCGAAUGAAUAAGGAUAUGCUUAGCUUGACAAAUGGAGCUAUUGGCUUUGAAUUGUAUUGUGGAAAUGUAUUACCAACAGAGGUGCAGGUGCCAGCCUAUUGAAAUAAAGCGUCAAUGAGGGUGAGAAUCCUGUUUGUCAUGUGCAGCCCUUUGUGCACGGUGUAUAUUUGCUGAGUCACACUCCUUGGCAUUGGAAUGCAAAGUGGGUGGUAAGUUUCAUGUAAAGGUAAACAUGCAAUUGAUACUGAUAGCACACAAGUACCAUGAGGGAAAUAUGAAAAGGACUUUGAAAAGAGAAUUAAAUGAGUUUGUAUUUGCUGAACACAAAGUAAACAGACUUGAUUUGCUUGGUGGGAGUGUUGCACUUGCUUGACAAGAGCUUUGGGCUGUGGGUGUAAUGAUUCUUUCUUUGCAUGCCAGUUUCUAUUUGUACAUCUGAUUACCUUUGCACAUGAAUGAUAAGUCUCCUGUGGGGGGUGGAUUGCAUGUGCAUGUAAUGAUUUGUGUUUUGAUAAAUGUGUCUGGUGUAUGUGUGUGUUCCUGUGCUUGGGGAUGCUUCCUUCCUUGGACUUACAAGCCCUGACACACACAUGCUGGCAAAAUGCUUCUGCUUGACCCGUCUUGAAACACGGUCCAAGG